CGGCCUUCGACCUUCGCAAUCCAUGGCCGCGCCAGGACGCGAUCCGAUGGCGGCAACUGUAGCAGUUCCCGCUUCGCCUCGUUCGCGUCAUUGCGCUGCGCGGCGGCCGUUGCACGGGCGAGAAUGCCCGUGGGGCCGCUGGCCAGCGCGUCGGUGCGCUGAAUGCGCACCAGCUUUGCGAAACUUUGCUGAAGGCGCUCGACGAUACCGUUGGGAGCAGGCUGCGCUUCGGGCUUCGGCGCGAGUUGCGGCAACAGCGCAAGCAAUUCCUUGCUCAAUGCAUCGUCCGUGGGAAGA
rnacentral:misc_RNA from 1 species